rnacentral:tRNA from 1 species
GCAGGCGCUGGUCCGGUGGGACGCGGCCUGGCUCGCCGCCCGCGAGCUGGCCGAGCGCCGCGAGCUCGGGUUCCCGCCGGCGGCCC